CUUUCACUCUUCUCAUUCUUUGAAUAAGAAUUGCACCCAUUUUGCCUCUUCCAGAGCCUCAGAGAGAGACCGGGAAAGAUGACUCGGGGAAAGCAGAAGAUUGAAGCGCAAAAACGAAAUGCGGAGAAGAAUCAGAAGCAAAAAGGGUCUCAAUUUGAGGCCAGAGCCGUUGCUCUCAAAAUCACUUGUCCUAUUUGCAAGGUGCAACUUGCAAAUCCAAAGCAGCUUGGCGAUCACUAUGCUUCCAAACAUCCCAGAGAAAAGCCUCCAGCUGAAUCAGAAUGACCCCUAUCUCAUGUGGAAUACAGUAUGACAAUAAAAAACGAAGUAAAAAAAAUCCUUUGCUGUGUUUUAUGACGCGUAUCAGAAAGUUUGUUAUACAUUGACUUGUGUUAAAUCUCUCCAGCUCCCUUCGCGAACGUUGUAUGACUAUGAAGGAUGAUUGUUAAUGUUGUCAUAUCUAGAGUUAUGUGAGCUGUGAAAUAAAUUUUUUGUCCAUUUUAUACCAUAUGCCUUUAACCACCGCUAGCUUGAAGUUUCUACUGGGAGACAGAAUGAUACUAAUAGAAACCAGAAAUUUUGUGCUGUAGCCCCAGCCCACAAUGAGAAAGAAUCAGAUAUGCUGAGAUUACUUGCACAAUACUAUGGCCGGAUGAGAUCUUUGAAACCAUUGAGAACCAGCUACUCACUGGUCUAGCUGAUAAUCAUCUUCCACAAGAGGAGAAGAGGCGUUUCGAAAUUUAUGUUAUUGUGAAAGCUGACCAGGUUCUACUGAUAGGAUUUCAGAUUUGCAUAAACAGUCUGAUCGGCCUUGCUACUCUUGUUUGUUUUGCGUUAUAAACUCAAAUAUGUCACAAUCCUUUAUAUAUAGAUCAUUGAUUAACAAAAGUCCAGCAUGAGCAAGUGCUAGAAGAGGAGAUCAAAAGUAUCAAAGCGACAGAAAAGCACCAGAAUUAGAUAGUUACAUCGUUUGAUUCUGUAUAAAGCUUGGAAUAUUGUGGUUAAGGAUUUCCACAGCUAUCAAAUCCUUCAAUACUAAACGCAUAAGCGAAGUUAAUGACACCAAUUGGCUCAUGGUCUAUUGGUAUUUCUUUU